ensembl:lncRNA
AAUGGCACCUGGCAUCUGACACCCAGACUUUUUUUAUUUAUUUUCAUUAUUAUUUUUCUUUUGUUCCAGUGUCUGUUCCUGAGACCUUACAGGCCACCUCAUUCUUUGGAAUCUCGUUGGCUGGUGUGAGCUCACGUCCCUGUGAAAGGUUUUCCUGGGAAACAUCAUAAGACCUAAACAAGCAACAGAAGUGAAAAGCUGAAGAGGUGCAGCAUGGCUCACAACUGCCUGCAGUGCAUCAAGUACCUAAUGUUUGUCUUCAACCUCCUCUUCUGGUGUCUCUUGCUUUUCAUACAGAGUCCUUUGCUGGAGCAGGGACAGGAUUGGUAGCACCUCUGCCACCAGUAAAAUUAAGAGUUUUCUUUGAAGCAACAGAUAAUGCACGAGCCAAUAUAAAACAUCAGAAGAAAAGAAGCUGCACAACAAUGAUUUGGAAGAAGACUCGCAUAGAGAACAAACAGUAACAAAAACAAAGGAAGAAGGUCAGAGGCAGAGAAGCUUAGUAGUUAUCGCUGAUGAUUUCUAUGGAAAUGUCCCCAUGUUUUUAGGUCAUAUCUAAUAUUGGUUCCAAGGCUUGAAAUCCCUAUCUUGUGAACAUUUUCUCUCGUACCAGUGAGAACACUGCUGGGGGGAGGGGAACUACUGUAAUUUGUGUUACUAGUAGACGGGCACAGUGCUACCUACUGGACACAUCUGAGUGUGAUGAGUAACUGAGAAGCCUCAGAGCAAGACACUUGGUCUGCUUUGCUCAUGCUGAACAAAUCCGCCUUUUGUUUCAGUUUCUAAUCCAUAUAAAGUUUUUGACUGAUACAGUUCUGAAAAGUCUGGCACUGCUUCACCAUGGCUUCUGAAUCAGAAAAAUGCAGUUCUUUUAAACACUGAACUGCAACAAUCCAAAAUAUGGUUUCUCUGAUUGAAAUGCAGCACUGUUAGACACUGUGUGACAGCUUUGGGAGUCACUGCUUUUAAAAAAGAGGUAAUUAUUUAAAACUUCCAGCAUUGCACCCCCCAGCUCUCUUUGCCAGGUUGUCACAUUAGCCUUUCACCUCUGAAUAGAUUAAUUCCAAUUGUAACGUAAGUCACAAGUGAAAAAAUGAUACUUGGCAUCACCUUCUAGUGCUUAGAGGACACUGGCCCAUGUCAGAAGUAAGCAUAGUUUAGGGCUAGAUUGCAAGGCUGGCUGCACCCCUACAUGGGGUUGUAAGACCCUCCCCUUACACCUCUGUACAGGAUAUCUAGGUUUGCCUAGAUAAAAGCACAGCACAAGCUUGUCUCCUGACAUGUGCAUGCGCGCAUACACACACAAGAGCAGAUGAAGAGAUGGGGAUUGGGUGGAGCCUUUGUUCUGUCCUCAUCAUGCACUAGCCAGCAUAGCUGAGCUGGUGUGUCAGCGCCCCCUAGGAGCAACUGUGGAGGAGGAGGAGAUGGGAAUUCAGCUACAGUUCCCUCCUUGUAUAACUCCUU